UACGGGGGGAGCAAGCGUUGUUCGGAUUUACUGGGCGUAAAGGGCGCGUAGGCGGCCACCGCAAGUCAGUUGUGAAAUCUCUGGGCUUAACCCAGAAAGGUCAACUGAUACUGCGGGGCUAGAGUGCAGAAGGGGCAACUGGAAUUCUCGGUGUAACGGUGAAAUGCGUAGAUAUCGAGAGGAACACCUGCGGCGAAGGCGGGUUGCUGGGCUGACACUGACGCUGAUGCGCGAAAGCUAGGGGAGCGGACGGG
rnacentral:rRNA from 1 species